UUAUUCCUACGGGGGGCAGCAGUAGGGAAUAUUGCUCAAUGGGGGAAACCCUGAAGCAGCAACGCCGCGUGGAGGAUGAAGGUUUUAGGAUUGUAAACUCCUUUUGUUAGAGAAGAUUAUGACGGUAUCUAACGAAUAAGCACCGGCUAACUCCGUGCCAGCAGCCGCGGUAAUACGGAGGGUGCAAGCGUUACUCGGAAUCACUGGGCGUAAAGAGUGCGUAGGCGGGAAAGCAAGUCAGAUGUGAAAACCAUGGGCUCAACCUGUGGCCUGCAUUUGAAACUGUUUUUCUUGAGUACUGGAGG
rnacentral:rRNA from 1 species